CUCCCCGCCCAUUGGGUCGUAAAGACGAAGUUCGGAAGUCUGGGAAAAGGGUCUUCCCGAGGCACGCUGGCUACCCCUCUUUCUACGGCGCGUUGUACAUGGUCUGACCCCGACGAGGUGAGUCCUGGUCGGGCCAGGAAGAAUUUAACCUCGGUGAUCUUGUUGCGUAACCGUCCUUCCCUUUACAAAGAUGAGGGACCAGCAGGAAGGUCUUGCCCUCCGUACGAAGGACAGAGCCAGGUCUCCCACCCUCAUCCAACAAGCUGGAAUAGACGGAGGCGAAUUUUGCACUGGCCCAGAGUGCAAAAUUUAAGAGGGCGCCAAACCCUCAGAAAUCGAGCCCUAGUGACAUCUGACCCAAUACUCGUGAUGCCGCCUCCCCCAACCCCCCGCCCCAAGUGCCCUCCUGCCACGCACAUCCUUGAAGAAGCCUUCCCUGACCCGUCGUCUCCCAAGCAGGGUUAGCGCCCGUUUUUGUCCCCUCAGCACUCCAGCUCCUCAUUACUUAUUAAACUGCUUUAUCAUUCUUAAGUUAUCUUUUUAUUUGACAUUGUCAGCUGAAAGAAUAAUGCACAAUGUACACGUUGUGAGUUCAGUUUUAUUCCGGGACCUUACUGAGGACUGUUGCCCAGGAAGACAGCCUCUCAGAUUACUCUGAGACACUGCUUCAAAGAGGGACUUCCCUGGCAGUCCAGUGAUUAGGACUCAGUGCUAAGACUGCCAGGACCCAUGUUUGAUACCUGGUUGGGGAACGAAGAUCCCACAAGUCUCACAGCAUGGCAAAAAACAGAACACAGUGAUGUUCAUUUCUUUA